GUAUCCACUGCCGGCCUAUAU
rnacentral:miRNA from 11 species